GCUGCUCCCUACUGGACCAAGGAGCCAGUCAGUCAGUUAUACGCCCCAGGUGAGACUGUCAGACUAGACUGUCAGGCAGACGGCAUCCCCAAUCCUAUCAUCAGCUGGACCAUCAAUGGGAUCCCCCUCUCAGAAACUGAUAAGGACCCUAGACGUACUCUGACAGCAAGCGGAUCUCUAAAACUGGAUGACGUCAACUUUGGAGAUACUGCCAUUUAUCAGUGUCGGGCCUCCAACAAGCAUGGCACCAUCAUUACCAACACCAACGUCUAUGUUGUUGAGCUGCCUCCACGGAUCCUUACUGAUAAUGGGAAUAUAUAUACAUUUACAGAGGGCCAGAAGGCUUUACUGGAGUGUGAGACCUUUGGUUCUCCCAAACCUAAAGUUGUAU